GUGCCAGCCGCCGCGGUAACACGUACUGUGCGAACGUUAUUCGGAAUCACUGGGCUUAAAGGGUGCGUAGGCGGCCAAUCAAGUCAGGUGUGAAAUCCCACGGCUCAACCGUGGAACAGCGCUUGAAACUGGUUGGCUUGAGUAAGACAGGGGUGUCUGGAACUUCUGGUGGAGCGGUGAAAUGUGUUGAUAUCAGAAGGAACACCGGUGGCGAAAGCGAGACACUGGGUCUUAACUGACGCUGAGGCACGAAAGCCAGGGUAGCGAACGGGAUUAGAAACCCGGGUAGUCC
rnacentral:rRNA from 1 species